rnacentral:lncRNA from 1 species
CAUUGCCUGCCCUUUUGGCUCCUUGCUUUGCCAUUUGCAAAAUGAGGGGUCCGGACUGAGCGGUCCCCACAGCGCCUCUGGAAUGAAUCCCAGGAAAGCAGGUUUAGGAAGGGGAACGUUGCAUUUCCGGCACAGGGUGGCGAGAGGCUGACGGUCCACACGGGAAGUCUGUGCCCACCCCCACCCCACCCCUACCGCACCUCCGUGAUCUUGCUUGUGACCCGUCCCCUUCCCAAGGUCAGGACGGAGGUGGGGCUGGGCUCCAGCCUGCAUGGGGGCCUGGAGGGCCGGGCCGUGCGUUGUCUUGUGGAAGCAGCUGUGCGGCGCUGUGGAAAACGUGACAGUUUCUCCAAGAGUUUCACAUGCAAUCACCAUGAGGCCCAGCAAGCCCACGCCUAGGCAGACACCAAGGAAGCGAAAACAGACUCUGCUCAUGACUGUUCGUAACAGCACUGAGCGCAACAGCCAGAAUUCAGGAACAACCCAAAUAUCCAUCGACAGAAAUGAGUAAACACAUUGUGGCUCAGCCACGCGAUGGGACGUGAUUCCGCCACGGAAAGAAUGCAGUGCUCAGUGAAGCCCCGUCUCCACUAAAAAUACAAAAAAUUAGCCGGGCGUGGUGGCGGGCGCCUGUAAUCCCAGCACUUUGGGAGGCUGAGGCAGGUGGAUCACGAGGUCAGCAGAUGGAGACCAUCCUGGCCAACACGGUGAAAACCUGUCUCUACUAAAAAUACAAAAAUAUAGCCAGGCGUGGUGGCGGGUGCCUGUAGUCCCAGCUACUUGGGAGGCUGAGGCAGGAGAAUGGCGUGAACCCAGGAGGUGGAGCUUGCAGUGAGCGGAGAUUGCACCACUGCACUCCAGCCUGGGUGACAGAGCGAGACUCCGUACCCCCUCACCAAAAAAAAAAAAAAAAAAAGAAUGCAGUGCUGAUUCCUCCUGCAACGUGGAUGAACCCUGAAGAUGCUCUGGCGAGUGAUGAAGCCAGUCCCCAAAGGCCACAUACUGUAGGAUUCCAUUUAUAUGAAAUUUCCAGGACAGGCAAACCCACAGAGGCAGG